rnacentral:ncRNA from 2 species
UGUACUAUUCGGCAAUUGGGUGCGCGCUUCCUGCUCGGGUUGCGCGUUAAACGGGAAACCGGUGACGCUGCCAAGUGCGGCCAUUCCGGUGCAGCCCCCGCUGCUGUAAGCCUGACGACUUCGGAAAUACGCCACUGCGCAUUGCGCGGGAAGGCCCGGGGAAGGAUGAAGGCGAGCCAGAAUACCGGCCCGAUACAACCAGCACUA